CGACGGCAGCAUAGGAGCUUGCUCCUGAUGGCGAGUGGCGAACGGGUGAGUAAUAUAUCGGAACGUGCCCUAGAGUGGGGGAUAACUAGUCGAAAGACUAGCUAAUACCGCAUACGAUCUACGGAUGAAAGUGGGGGAUCGCAAGACCUCAUGCUCCUGGAGCGGCCGAUAUCUGAUUAGCUAGUUGGUGGGGUAAAAGCCUACCAAGGCAACGAUCAGUAGCUGGUCUGAGAGGACGACCAGCCACACUGGGACUGAGACACGGCCCAGACUCCUACGGGAGGCAGCAGUGGGGAAUUUUGGACAAUGGGGGCAACCCUGAUCCAGCAAUGCCGCGUGAGUGAAGAAGGCCUUCGGGUUGUAAAGCUCUUUUGUCAGGGAAGAAACGGUAGUAGCGAAUAACUAUUACUAAUGACGGUACCUGAAGAAUAAGCACCGGCUAACUACGUGCCAGCAGCCGCGGUAAUACGUAGGGUGCAAGCGUUAAUCGGAAUUACUGGGCGUAAAGCGUGCGCAGGCGGUUGUGUAAGUCAGAUGUGAAAUCCCCGGGCUCAACCUGGGAAUUGCAUUUGAGACUGCACGGCUAGAGUGUGUCAGAGGGGGGUAGAAUUCCACGUGUAGCAGUGAAAUGCGUAGAUAUGUGGAGGAAUACCGAUGGCGAAG
rnacentral:rRNA from 1 species